rnacentral:lncRNA from 1 species
UUGGAGAUCUCUCUCCAAGUUUCUUGAAAACAGCUGCAAACAUUGGACAGGACAGCACCAUGAAGUCGCCAAGGCUGUAUUUUGGAGUGUGCACAUAGAGGGGCUUUUGAUGAAGCAGGCUUUUGUUACUCAGAUUGCUGUUCAGAGCUGAUGUCAAGCUUCCUCAGAAUCCAACUGUGGCCUUAGCAGGGAGGAAGUAGUGCACCCUGGAGUGGGCUACUGAGUAAUACUGUUUUACCUAAACCUUGGCCAUACAUUGGUUAUUGGUGCAUCUUCAAGGAUGGCUUUCCUUGGGCAGUCCUGUACUGGAGUUGU